AAUCUAUUGAUUUCAACAAUGUUACUGUUUUCUAAAUACCAAGUAUUUAAAUUGUAACUGUAAUGGAAUACAGUUACUCCUCAUUUGUAUUCUGAAUAUGUAACGCUGGUACAUGUAUUCCGUUACUCCCCAACACUGUUUGCAGAUUGAGCAUUUUAAAUUAAA